rnacentral:rRNA from 1 species
GAUGAACGCUGGCGGCGUGCCUAAUACAUGCAAGUCGAGCGAACAGACGAGGAGCUUGCUCCUCGGACGUUAGCGGCGGACGGGUGAGUAACACGUGGAUAACCUACCUAUAAGACUGGGAUAACUUCGGGAAACCGGAGCUAAUACCGGAUAAUAUAUUGAACCGCAUGGUUCAAUAGUGAGAGACGGUGUUGCUGUCACUUAUAGAUGGAUCCGCGCCGCAUUAGGUAGUUGGUAAGGUAACGGCUUACCAAGGCAACGAUGCGUAGCCGACCUGAGAGGCUGAUCGGCGACACUGGAACUGAGACACGGUCAAGACUACUACGAGAGGCAGCAGUAGGGAAUCGUACGCAAUGGGCGAAAGCCUGACGCAGCAACGCCGCGUGAGUGAUGACGGUCUUCGGAUCGUAAAACUCUGUUAUUAGGGAAGAACAAAUGUGUAAGUAAAUAUGCACGUCUUGACGGUACCUAAUCAGAAAGCAACGGCUAACUACGUG